UACGUAGGGUGCGAGCGUUAAUCGGAAUUACUGGGCGUAAAGCGUGCGCAGGCGGCUUUGCAAGACAGAGUGUGAAAUCCCCGGGCUCAACCUGGGAACUGCAUUUGUGACGUGCAAGGCUAGAGUACGGCAGAGGGGGAUGGAAUUCCGCGUGUAGCAGUGAAAUGCGUAGAUAUGCGGAGGAACACCAAUGGCGAAGGCAAUCCCCUGGGCCUGUACUGACGCUCAUGCACGAAAGCGUGGGGAGCAAACAGG
rnacentral:rRNA from 1 species